rnacentral:rRNA from 1 species
GACGAACGCUGGCGGCGUGCCUAAUACAUGCAAGUCGAACGCUGAAGGAGGAGCUUGCUCUUCUGGAUGAGUUGCGAACGGGUGAGUAACGCGUAGGUAACCUGCCUGGUAGCGGGGGAUAACUAUUGGAAACGAUAGCUAAUACCGCAUAACAGUAGAUGUUGCAUGACAUUUACUUAAAAGGUGCAAUUGCAUCACUACCAGAUGGACCUGCGUUGUAUUAGCUAGUUGGUGGGGUAACGGCUCACCAAGGCGACGAUACAUAGCCGACCUGAGAGGGGGAUCGGCCACACUGGGACUGAGACACGGCCCAGACUCCUACGGGAGGCAGCAGUAGGGAAUCUUCGGCAAUGGACGGAAGUCUGACCGAGCAACGCCGCGUGAGGGAAGAAGGGUUUCGGAUCGUAAAGCUCUGUUGUAAGAGAAGAACGAGUGUGAGAGUGGAAAGUUCACACUGUGACGGUAGCUUACCAGAAAGGGACGGCUAACUACGUG